rnacentral:rRNA from 1 species
AUACAGAGGGUGCAAGCGUUAAUCGGAUUUACUGGGCGUAAAGCGCGCGUAGGUGGCUAAUUAAGUCAAAUGUGAAAUCCCCGAGCUUAACUUGGGAAUUGCAUUCGAUACUGGUUAGCUAGAGUAUGGGAGAGGAUGGUAGAAUUCCAGGUGUAGCGGUGAAAUGCGUAGAGAUCUGGAGGAAUACCGAUGGCGAAGGCAGCCAUCUGGCCUAAUACUGACACUGAGGUGCGAAAGCAUGGGGAGCAAACAGGAUUAGAUACCCUGGUAGUCCAUGCCGUAAAUGAUGUCUACUAGCCGUUGGGGCCCUUGAGGCUUUAGUGGCGCAGCUAACGCGAUAAGUAGACCGCCUGGGGAGUACGGUCGCAAGACUAAAACUCAAAUGAAUUGACGGGG